rnacentral:rRNA from 1 species
AACGGCCAUACCAUGCUGAAUAUACCGGUUCUCGUUAGAUCACCGAAGUCAAGCAUCAUUGGGCGUGGUUAGUAAUUGGGUGGGUGACCACCUGGGAACACCGUGUGCCGUU